GGAAAUGAGCAGGUGCUAGAGCAGUGGUGAGAAUAUCUCCCAUCAGGGAGCCCCAUGGUCAGGCAGAGACCAGAAUGGGAGAAUGUUCCUCAUCUUCCAGGAACAACAGUAAGCCCAUGUGAUGGAAGCCAGCUGAGAGACAGAGAAACAAUGUGAGAUCCAAGAAAUUAUGGGGUUUUCCCUAAAAGCUGUGCGUGGAAGGUUUGCCAGCAAAUUGGUAGAUCUACCUGACUUGGACAAGGCAUCACAAAUGCCUAGAAAUUCUGGAUAAAUUCUUAUAAAAGAUAUUUGGUAAUCCCUAA